CAGCUUGCCGUACGUAUCCAAAAUUGUAUCGAGCAACUAACGUUAACAUAUUAUAUUACUCCAAAUUGUCCCGAAAAGACAUCAUUUUCGAGCUGUACUAUCUUUUUUUUAACAAUUUAUUUAUUCCUUGGGAAUCGAAAGACAGCUCUCAUCUCUAUGAACUAUUUACUCCAAUUAGAAGCCGUUGAUCAAGAGCAGCUCUGAAUGAAAGAAGAUUAGCCGCUCUCUAUAGACACUAUUAUUUAGGGUAUUAGCUCGUUUUGGAGUCUUUCCGGAUUGGUUCUAUUAUCAACUACGUCUCAGCUGGACAAGUGCUGAAUCCGAAUUGGACUUCCGAUCGAUAAGUUUCAAGAGUAUUGACUUGGGCACCACAGGAAACAUACAUAUAUCCAGCUAAUACCAAUUUUUUCAAUACUGAAAGGGUUUCCCUACUUUUGCAACCUCUUUUCCUUUCUCCCUCUCAGCUCCCAAAGCCUC